GAUGAAGAACGCAGCGAAAUGCGAUAAUUAAUGUGAAUUGCAGAAUUCCGUGAAUCAUCGAGUCUUUGAACGCACAUUGCGCCUCAUGGCAUUCCGUGAGGCAUGCCCAUCUCAGCGUUAGAAAAUAUUCUCAAAUUUUAGUUUUGUGCUAAAAUUUGGAUCAUGUCAAAGAAGCUAUUACUAUUAUUGUGAUCGCUCUUUGGAAAUUGAUAGGUCUUUGAGUUGCUACUCAUAGAACGUGAUGAAUCUUUCUUCGUUCUAUUGUCAUUCACUCUGGUAGUCCUAAAACUUGUAUGCCUGUGGCAUAUCUUGUAAUUUGACCUGAGAUUGGGUAGGGAUACCCGCUGAACUUAAGCAUAUCAAUAAGCGGAGGA
rnacentral:misc_RNA from 1 species